rnacentral:lncRNA from 10 species
AUUUUAGCAGGGAGUUUCAGCAGCCAGGCUUGCAGAGAAUUACUUACAUUCUUGCAGCAAUGUUAUGUGCCCUGAGUGCUUUUUCUCUCUGGCCUCUCAACUCUGUUUUAAUGGGAUAUGACAAGAAUAACCCAAUUUGUGUAAACUUCCAUAGUGCAAUUAUUGUUUACUUCUUUGACUAGCCUAACUCUUCAUUUUGUGUAGAGAACCAGACAUUUUAUUUAGGUGCUUUAGAUAAUGUCUAUCACUUUGUCUCCCAUAUAGAGCCUAUGUAAUACUUUGCACAUGGAGAUAUCUCAUAAGAACUUGGAAAAUGUUUCUUCCUUUUUGAAAUGAUUCUUUAUAUUUUAAUGGUGCUUGUUAGCUACAAGGAAGUAAAUAAUAUUUGGCUAAUGAUACUGUGGUCUAGAGUAGAAGAUAUGUGUCUGUGUGAAUGCUGUCAAUUAUAGAUCUUCCUAAUACCUUUGACUCUGGGGUGGGACAGCCCAUGUGCAAGGAGAGAUACUGCUAAGGAAGAUACUAGCAACAUCUGUGUUUAAAAUGAAGUUGUCAUCUCAUGUGUGUGUCAAGCAGAUAUGCAUCCUCUAUUUACCACUAGAGAGCCUGAAGGACAGAAAAUGAGAGCAAGUGGGAAUGCAGCACUAGGUACCUGGAGCCAGAUGGCUGUGGAGUUGAGGAAGUCCCUGAACAUAGCACUUUGUUCCUGGCAGCGGGGAUUAUUGGGGUUAAGUUUAAAUCUCAUCUUGUCUCUUCUUUUAGAUCAUGAAUUCCUUGAAAAUAAGGAUAAUGUGUUACACUUUUUUGUUUCCCAAAUGGCUUGAAAUAGUUCUUUAAACAUAGGCACAUAUUCAACCACUAUUAAAUGAUUUGGCCCUUGU